rnacentral:rRNA from 1 species
UACAGAGGGGGCAAGCGUUGUUCGGAAUUACUGGGCGUAAAGGGCGCGUAGGCGGCCUGCUAAGUCGAACGUGAAAUCCCUGGGCUCAACCCAGGAACUGCGUCCGAUACUGGUUGGCUUGAAUCCGGGAGAGGGAUGUGGAAUUCCAGGUGUAGCGGUGAAAUGCGUAGAUAUCUGGAGGAACACCGGUGGCGAAGGCGACAUCCUGGACCUGUUCUGACACUGAGGAGCGAAAGCGUGGGGAGCGAUCCGG